UUUCUCUCUCUUUCCCCAGGGAUCACCACCUCUGAGUUUGUCCACCCAAGAAAAAUCUUCAUCUGGAAAGCACUUUUGAAGCUUGGACAAAAUGUUGUACUAAGCUUUCACAUAUAUAUAUCCACCAGACGCUCAUCGGUGGUGGCCAGCUCUUCCCCAGGGUCACCGUGUUAUGGGUAGACUAGAGCUCGCCUUUUUGAUAAGCUAAUUUCUCUUUUAGCUCUCACAAUUCGCCCUUUAGGUCUUAGAUCUUUUGAUUAGAGGUAGACAUCGAGUUAGCAAGUAGAUCGAUCUUCAUCUCUUGCAUCUCGAUAAAACCCUGUAAAGCCCUGUUCCUCUCCUUCAGAAUUUGGGAGCAGGCCAGUUGCUCCAUUUGAAGAGACAUUGACUAAAGGGUGAGGUCUUCAUCAUCAUCUUGAUCCAAGCAAGCUUUUUCUUUCGGGAGAAUGUACUUUUUACUGAAUCAGCCAGCAAGUUUGAAAUUCUUAAUAACUAACUAGCCGGCUAGCAUUUAUUUGAUGGUUUGAGGAGCCGGUGGUGGCAAAGGAGGAACAAACUCAAUCUCCCUGGGGUCUUAAGCAUCAGCUAGCAUCCUUCGCUUUUCUGGAGUCUGUGACGUCCAAGGAGAGGUGACUCUCACCCGCUUUAUUGCCGUAGGAGUAGACUGCUCAACAGCAGGAGCUCUUUUCGACUUCUUCUUCCUCUGGAAUAACUCUUCAACAUUUUUUGCUUGCCUAACCAUGUCUGCAUAAGCAAAAGAAUCUUAGUAAGUAUUAAAAAUCAAAGUUAUAAGUUAAAAGCUUUUACCGGG
rnacentral:misc_RNA from 1 species